GCCCCAUUUGAACACACUACAAAUCUGGUAAUCAAAACAGCCAUUUACUUGGUGUAUAACGGUUUUCUUAGACCUUGCGAGUUUACCAUACAUGGUAACAAAUACGCACGAGACUGCCUCAAAUGGUCCUAUCUCGUUAAACGACAAGAUCACUAGAUCUUGUCACUACCCGUUACGUAAACAAGUCAGCUGGGCAAAGUAGUGCAUAUUACAUAUUAUCC